UUCCCCAUAGACGAACCCUCCCCCCGAAACAUUGAUAGUUCUUUAGCGGUUAGCACAUCUGUCAAAGUGGCUGAUACCCCAGAUAGAGUUGCAAGACAGCUGCUGCCAGAUGAAAGUUUGACAUAUAUUUGAGCAUUACCAUCACUCAUACUAUAGCUGGAUAGUCAGGGAGGCCAGAAAAAACCUGGAAUAUACAGGAAACCUGGAUGGGGCCAAGACAACCAGCAGCUUCCCCACAAAGCUUCUAUAUUACAAGUUCUUAAUUGGAGGGUUGGUAACACGACAAACAAAGCUCACCAUCA